CCCAGACUCCUACGGGAGGCAGCAGUGGGGAAUAUUGCACAAUGGGGGGAACCCUGAUGCAGCGACGCCGCGUGGGUGAAGGAGUACUUCGGUACGUAAAGCCCUAUCAGCAGGAAAGAAAAUGACGGUACCUGACUAAGAAGCCCCGGCUAACUACGUGCCAGCAGCCGCGGUAAUACGUAGGGGGCAAGCGUUAUCCGGAUUUACUGGGUGUAAAGGGAGCGUAGACGGCAGUGCAAGUCCGGAGUGAAAGCCCGGGGCUCAACCCUGGGACUGCUCUGGAAACUGUAAAGCUGGAGUGCGGGAGGGGCAGGCGGAAUUCCUGGUGUAGCGGUGAAAUGCGUAGAUAUCAGGAGGAACACCGGUGGCGAGGGCGGCCUGCUGGACUGCGACUGACGUUGAGGCCCGAAAGCGUGGGGAGCAAACAGGAUUAGAUACCCUAGUA
rnacentral:rRNA from 1 species